rnacentral:rRNA from 1 species
CGGCGGACGGGUGAGUAACACGUGGAUAACCUACCUAUAAGACUGGGAUAACUUCGGGAAACCGGAGCUAAUACCGGAUAAUAUAUUGAACCGCAUGGUUCAAUAGUGAAAGACGGUUUUGCUGUCACUUAUAGAUGGAUCCGCGCCGCAUUAGCUAGUUGGUAAGGUAACGGCUUACCAAGGCAACGAUGCGUAGCCGACCUGAGAGGGUGAUCGGCCACACUGGAACUGAGACACGGUCCAGACUCCUACGGGAGGUAGCAGAC